UACAGAGGUGCCAAGCGUUGUUCGGAUUUAUUGGGCGUAAAGGGUGCGUAGGCGGUGAUGCAAGUCGGAUGUGAAAUACCGGAGCCUAACUCCGGAACGGCAUUCGAAACUGCAUCGCUAGAGAACUGGAGAGGUGACUGGAAUUUACGGUGUAGCAGUGAAAUGCGUAGAGAUCAUGAGGAAGACCAGUGGCGGAAGGCGGGUCUCUGGACAGUUCCUGACACUGAGGCACGAAGGCCAGGGGAGCAAACGGG
rnacentral:rRNA from 1 species